AUUUGCUCAUUACUUUCAUCAGAAAAGGACCAAACAGAGGGAUCUUGAUUUGGUCACUAGACCCAUGUAGCUGAGUUUUCCAGAAACUGAACGCUAACUCUGAAGUAAGAACAACAUGAGUGGCAGGGUUGAUGGAUGAAAAUCAAGUUUUGCAUCAGGGAUUUUCAGACGAGCUUUGCAUUUAGAAGAGAUUGGAGCACAAUUAAUUUAAAAACAGCCGAAGCAGUACAACAGAAAUGACACAGCAAGCUUUCCAGGACACACUCAGGAAGUAAGAGAAAAAGAACAGGGGUUAACUAAAGGGCACUGAACAAGUAAAGCUGUGCUGAAAAGAACAGUGGCCAAGGCAGGGAUAUUCUUAUACCACAAACAGUCAUGCAGAUGGAAGUCUGGCCAACAAAACCAUAAAGCAUCAUGUCUCACUGUGACUCAAUCUGUCAGCUCAAGUACAAGCCUUGAGUACACAAGUUCUUCUGCAUUCCCAAAUGCUUCCUUCUUUUGUCUCCAGUUAAAGACAUUUACCACUUUCUGGGAAGGAUUUCAACUUCAACUUUUCAUGAAAUACGAUGAGAGAUCGACUCAUGAUGGACUCAUCAGAAAUAAUUGGAGGUGGGAGGGAACAAUGUCAUCACUGACAGACUGUGCAACAACAAUUACUUGGAGCAACAGAGAGCAACGGGACAGCAGAGACCAUAUCUCCAACCAUUGAUUGUCCUUCAGCAUCAUUGGAAAUGUUCCCGAUUGCAUGUCUGUUAAAUAAAAUAUCACAUUGGACCCCUAUAUUGAUGCCAUUUUGCAGAUUGAGACAAGAUGUGAACAGUAGAAUCUCCCAGCUAUACUUAGGAGUCAAAGAAUAUAUUGAAACAAAAAACCCAGGCAGAGGCAAAACAGAUGAGGACUAACUAGUUCCUGUGCUUUGGAAAAGAUGCAAUUGACAAGUAAACCAGGAAGUAAGAGUAACUGGACCACUGCCCCUACCUCAUAGUAGUUGGAAAGGGAAAAAUUGUACUUACCAUAUAGAGAAAAAUUUGAAAUCUUGGUAGCUUAAGUGAUCAUUUCACUCAGUAAUUCGAGUGCCUGUUGAGAUGUGUGUACAAGCUCAGACAGUCUUCCUGGGCUGCGCCAGACUACUAAAAAGCCGAUGAAGCACAUUCUUUAUUCUGCUACAAAACAAAUGUGAAAAUGUCUUGAUGAAAGCUCAGCUGCUUUGCAAAUGUACAAUGAAGGCAAAUUUAACUGUCUGGGAUUGAACGAAGCCACAGUGAAAUGAUGAGAGUGGUUGCAGGAUUUUAGGAAUUUUUGUAUUUGGAUAAAUGAGAAGAUCAACCUGUCCUGUGUUCCCCGCGUGGCUACUGUGGGCUUUGAAGAAGUUAAUGUAGAGAAAGCCUGCUCUUAUGGUGUCUCGUUUUGUUAUCAAUGAAGACUGCAUCUGGACUAGGGAUGGAGGCAGGUGUCCACUUACCUUUUCAGCUCUAGGACCCUUUCUGGUACAGAAACAAAACAUAUUGCCUCAAGUUUCCAGGAGUUCACAUAUGUAUUAAUUCUGAUGAAUUAAAGAACAUAAUUUUUGGGGUGUCCUCCAGCCCUUCUGAACUUUAUGAUUGGAAAAAUGAUUUAUAGUAGCUCAAAACUUGAACGGAAACAAAAGAUUGCUCUGCUGUGUUAUAAACAAGAUUGUGUAAGCAGUCUAAUAAAAUGGGAAAUAAAUUGGGUA
rnacentral:lncRNA from 1 species